GUGGUCACUUUGGCAGCACAAAUACUAAAAUUGGAACAAUACAGAGAUUAGCAUGGCCCCUGCACAAGGAUGACGUGCAAAUUCGUGAAGUGUUCCAUAUUUAA
ensembl:snRNA U6 U6 spliceosomal RNA